CUGUUGGGGACCAUUUGGUAAUUUGUAACUAUGUACCGAUGGAACGAACCGAAGUAUUCGUUAUACUGAUUUAUAAUCCAAGACCGUGAUUACAAGAGUUCCGCUCAUCACUAGUCGGUUGUCUUUUGUUUUCGUAUUUUACCUAUUUUUUUUUUUUAAUUUUUAACGUUUCAUCUACUUUACAGUACUCGACGAAAUUGCAGUAGACAUAUCAUAUAUGUAUUAUACUUGAAGCAUACUAUAUCUUUAAAAAAUACCACACGCAAUUCCUAACCACCCAACUAUUCUAUGGAUGACUGACUGGCUUAACUACCACGAGAAAACGUACACAUCAAAACACAAUCAUCGUUCUAUAGGAGAAUCGGAAUACAGUGUGUCUUAUACUUUCCAAGACUGUGUGAUCGAGGUUACCCACGUCAAUUGAUCGAGUUCUUUUUUCUAAGUUCCAACUGCAUACAAUACAGAUUACUGUCUACUGAUAAGGCUAACUUCAAUAUCCGACUUGUCAAAUUGGUCUUGGUGGUUGCAUUUUUAUGUUCAUUAUUUUAACAUUAUUUUUGGUAAUAAUAUAUAACACUACGUUUUGAAAAUGCAUAAGUGUAUAGUGUGCGGUAAUAGAUCUAUUUACACCAAUGCCAAUCGUACAGGAGUUAUUUAUCAUGGGUGUGCUACUCAAUGUAAUGAUGUUGAAACUGGAAAUAAUGUAAUUUUACCAAUGGAACAAAAUAUUCUAAGGGAGGAAAAUAUUGAAAAUACUGUUGUCAAUUUUAAAUCACCAAGGCGGUCACCUAAACUAAGUAGAAACAAUGAGGAUAUGACGUUUUCGUUGCAGCGGUCGAUACAUAGAAUACAUAAUUAUUCCCUUCCAUUAAACGUGACAAUAUGAAUUUCUAUUUUAAAAUAGCAACUGAACAUUCUUGAUAUACACAAGGUACUGAGAAUCAUGGAUUGUAAGUAUCAAUUAUUCUUCUUAGCUUACACCUGAAGAAUAUUGCAAUAAAUGGAAAAGAUUGCUGAAAAGACAGCAGCUGUUGUAGAACUGAGAAGAAGAAUGGCGGAAAUGAAAAAUCUACAACGUACCCUCGCAUUAUAACUUUUUUAUUUUGAAUUCUGUGUAUGGCAAAAUUAAAAAAAAUAUUGUAUUAUCAAUAUUAAAAAUAAUUAUAAGUUUAUAAACGUUGUA